CMCSGCCCCAGAUUCCUASGGGAGGCAGCAGUGGGGAAUYUUAGACAAUGGGCGAAAGCCUGAUCUAGCCAUGCCGCUUGAGUGAUGAAGGCCCUAGGGUCGUAAAGCUCUAUCAACUGUGAAGAUAAUGACGGUAGCAGUAGAAGAAACCCCGGGCUAACUCCGUGCCAGCAGCCGCGGUAAUACGGAGGGGGUUAGCGUUGUUCGGAAUUACUGGGCGUAAAGCGUACGUAGGCGGAUUAAUAAGUUAGAGGUGAAAUCCCAGGGCUCAACCCUGGAACUGCCUUUAAAACUGUUAGUCUUGAGAUCGAGAGAGGUGAGUGGAAUUCCAAGUGUAGAGGUGAAAUUCGUAGAUAUUUGGAGGAACACCAGUGGCGAAGGCGGCUCACUGGCUCGAUACUGACGCUGAGGUACGAAAGUGUGGGGAGCAAACAGGAUUAGAUACCCUGGUAGUCCACACCGUAAACGAUGAAUGCCAGACGUCAGCAAGCAUGCUUGUUGGUGUCACACCUAACGGAUUAAGCAUUCCGCCUGGGGAGUACGGUCGCAAGAUUAAAACUCAAAGGAAUUGACGGGGGCCCGCACAAGCGGUGGAGCAUGUGGUUUAAUUCGACGCAACGCGCAGAACCUUACCAACCCUUGACAUACUUGUCGCGGAUUCCAGAGAUGGAUUCCUUCAGUUCGGCUGGACAAUGUACAGGUGCUGCAUGGCUGUCGUCAGCUCGUGUCGUGAGAUGUUCGGUUAAGUCCGGCAACGAGCGCAACCCACGUCCUUAGUUACCAGCAUUUAGUUGGGUACCCUAAGGAGACUGCCGGUGAUAAGCCGGAGGAAGGUGUGGACGACGUCAAGUCAUCAUGGCCCUUACGGGUUGGGCUACACACGUGCUACAAUGGCAUCUACAGUGAGUUAAUCUCCAAAAGAUGUCUCAGUUCGGAUUGGGGUCUGCAACUCGACCCCAUGAAGUUGGAAUCGCUAGUAAUCGCGGAACAGCAUGCCGCGGUGAAUACGUUCCCGGGCCUUGUACACACCGCCCGUCACACCAUGGGAAUUGGGUCUACCCGAAGGUGGUGCGCCAACUAU
rnacentral:rRNA from 1 species